GGCGCUAUAGUGUAGUGGUUAUCACUUGGGAUUCUGACUUUCGCGCGACGUCAUAUAUUCCCAUAACCCAGGUUCGAGCCCUGGUAGCGCCU